UAACGAAUAUUGGGCAAUGGGCGAAAGCCUGACCCAGCAAUGCCGCGUGCAGGACGAAGUCCUUCGGGAUGUAAACUGCUGUCAGGGGUCCGCAAGCGAAGGGGUCCAACAGGCCCUGGAGUUGAGCAGCCCCAGAGGAAGCCUCGACUAACUCUGUGCCAGCCGUCGCGGUAAGCCAGAGGAGGCCAGCGUUGUUCGGAAUCACUGGGCUUAAAGCGCGUGUAGGCGGCUUAGAAAGUGUCGUGUGAAAUCCCGCGGCUCAACCGCGGAACUGCACGGCAAACUACUGGGCUUGAGGGCGGUAGAGGUGCCUGGAACUCUAGGUGGAGCGGUGAAAUGCGUAGAUAUCUAGAGGAACGCCAGAAGCGAAAGCGGGGCACUGGGCCGAUUCUGACGCUGAGACGCGAAAGCGUGGGGAGCAAACA
rnacentral:rRNA from 1 species